ACGAAGGGGGCUAGCGUUGCUCGGAAUGACUGGGCGUAAAGGGCGCGUAGGCGGUUCGUACAGUCAGAAGUGAAAUUCCUGGGCUCAACCUGGGGACUGCUUUUGAUACGUGCGGACUUGAGUGGGGAAGAGGGUUGUGGAAUUUCCAGUGUAGAGGUGAAAUUCGUAGAUAUUGGAAAGAACACCGGUGGCGAAGGCGACAACCUGGUCCUUUACUGACGCUGAGGCGCGAAAGCGUGGGGAGCAAACAGG
rnacentral:rRNA from 1 species